rnacentral:ncRNA from 22 species
AAAUAACUCUUCGGUAAUCAUGAAGCCGUGAAGCCGCGAUUUUAAUGUCUAUUAGGAAAAAUCCCAAUAAACAUAAGCGGACUAAUAAUAAAAAGAGAUUAUUCUCUGAUUUUUUUAUUUAUCGCGAGAGAUUCUACAAGAAGUUUUUAAUAGGAUGAUAUUUAACGCAUUCCCGUUAAUCGUCUGACUACGCUACUCAUCCUUUCCGCCUCAAAUUAACGUUCGUAAAAUCAGCAAAAAACGAGGAUUUUUCGUUCAUAUACCUAACAAGAAAGCCGAUAGUGCGCCGCUAUAUUCGCGCACUAUCGACAUCAGACAGGGGUUAAUUCGGGGUUGAGAAUCAAGAGUUGGGGA